AAACCAGGCAGAGAGACCCAGAUGCAGAAUCCUGCAGGCUGAGGGAUGUCAGGAAGAGUUAGCCCACCACUGCUGCGCUGAAACCAGGAUGAUGCAAACUGGGCCUCAGGCCAGGUGUAUUCCUUGGAGUAUAACUGAAGGUUUACUUGGUAAUUCCAUGUUUAACUUUUCUUGGAACUUCUGGACUAUCUUCCAAAGCAACAGUACCAUUGUACAUUUUCAC
rnacentral:lncRNA from 1 species